rnacentral:misc_RNA from 1 species
AUUUUACUGCCAUUUCUCAUAAUCCUAUGGCAAAUUCUUUGAAACACUUAAUUCAAGCCAUGAAAAUUCAUCAAAAUCCAAAUAUUGGGUUUUUUGAAAGAUUAAUUUACAGGCAAGAAUUAAACACUAUUCAUUAAAAUAGAUAUUCAUGUUUGAUUCAUGAUCUAAAUUAGUCCCUCAACUUCUGUUGUCCUCAUAUUAGCCCAGGAGAUGUCCAGAUUCAUCCG